GCUGGGUGGCUCAGUUGGUUGAGCGUCUGACUUCGGUUCAGGUCAUGAUCUCGCAGUUCGUGAGUUCGAGCCCCACACCAGGCU
rnacentral:tRNA from 1 species